AAUACGAUAUGAUGACAAUGCCGCAUUUGUUAUUGAUAAAGAAGGAAAUCCAAAAGGAACUAGAAUUUUUGGUGUAAUCGCCGGAGAUCGGAAGACACA